GCCCAUUCAGGUUGGAGGCAUUGCCUGCCAGUGACAACUGUUUAACGGCCGCGGUAUCCUGACCGUGCAAAGGUAGCAUAAUCAUUUGUUCUCUAAAUAAGGACUUGUAUGAAUGGCCGCACGAGGGUUUUACUGUCUCUUACUUCCAAUCAGUGAAAUUGACCUUCCCGUGAAGAGGCGGGAAUGCACAAAUAAGACGAGAAGACCCUAUGGAGCUUUAACUAACCAACCCAAAGAGAAUAGAUUUAACCAUUAAGGAAUAACAACAAUCUCCAUGAGUUGGUAGUUUCGGUUGGGGUGACCUCGGAGAAUAAAAAAUCCUCCGAGCGAUUUUAAAGACUAGACCCACAAGUCAAAUCACUCUAUCGCUCAUUGAUCCAAAAACUUGAUCAACGGAACAAGUUACCCUAGGGAUAACAGCGCAAUCCUAUUCAAGAGUCCAUAUCGACAAUAGGGUUUACGACCUCGAUGUUGGAUCAGGACAUCCUGAUGGUGCAACCGCUAUCAAAGGUUCGUUUGUUCAACGAUUAAAGUCCUACGUGAUCUGAGUUCAGACCGGA
rnacentral:rRNA from 1 species